GAUGAACGCUGGCGGCGUGCCUAAUACAUGCGAGUCGAGCGAACAGACGAGGAGCUUGCUCCUCUGACGUUAGCGGCGGACGGGUGAGUAACACGUGGAUAACCUACCUAUAAGACUGGGAUAACUUCGGGAAACCGGAGCUAAUACCGGAUAAUAUAUUGAGCCGCAUGGUUCAAUAGUGAAAGACGGUUUUGCUGUCACUUAUAGAUGGAUCCGCGCCGCAUUAGCUAGUUGGUAAGGUAACGGCUUACCAAGGCGACGAUGCGUAGCCGACCUGAGAGGGUGAUCGGCCACACUGGAACUGAGACACGGUCCAGACUCCUACGGGAGGCAGCAGUAGGGAAUCUUCCGCAAUGGGCGAAAGCCUGACGGAGCAACGCCGCGUGAGUGAUGAAGGUCUUCGGAUCGUAAAACUCUGUUAUUAGGGAAGAACAAAUGUGUAAGUAACUAUGCACGUCUUGACGGUACCUAAUCAGAAAGCCACGGCUAACUACGUG
rnacentral:rRNA from 1 species